GCAAGUAAGCAGACAAUCGCCCUAUCUAUAUUGAUUAGGGAGGAAAGUCCGAACAGCUCGAGUACGGGUGGUUAUUAACGGUAACCCGGGGUAACCCGAGGGAAAGUGCCACAGAAACGAUACCGCCUGUAGCCUAUUGGCUUCAGGUAAGGGUGAAAAGAGGGCGGUAAGAGCGCCCAGCUGGUAUUGGUGACAAUACCAGGAGGUAAACCCCACCUGCUGCAAGGCUUAUGGAUCCUAGGUAGUAAUACCAAAGUGUACUCGCUUUGUUUAUACGGGAUACGUCGCAUGAUCAUGGGCGAACUAUGACAUAGAGAGUUUACUGUGAAAACAGUACUUACUAAGAGAGAUGAUUGUCACUUUGAUUGAAAAGGCAAUUAAAGCUACAGAAUUCGGCUUAUCGCUUACUUGUCCGC
rnacentral:RNase_P_RNA from 1 species